ACAUGUCUGUUUGAAGAUAUAAAGAGUCUGAUCUGCCCGCUGAAUAUUUAAGGGCCGCGGUAAUUUGACCGUGCAAAGGUAGCAUAAUCGUUAGUUUUUUAAUUGGAAUCUUGUAUGAAUGAUUGGACAAGGGGGAGACUGUCUCUGUAUUUUUUUGAAUUUAACUUUUAAGUGAAAAGGCUUAAAUAGUUUAGAAAGACGAUAAGACCCUAUAAAGCUUAAUAAGUUUAGAUACUUAACUGAAUUAGAAUAUAAGAGUUGAUUGGUUGAUCUUAUUUUGUUGGGGCGACAAUGGUAAAAUGUUUUAACUACUAAAUUUUAUGACAAAUAUUAGUGAAUAAUGGAGUAAAUGAGCCUGUGAUAAGAUUAAAAGAUUAAGUUACUUUAGGGAUAACAGCGUUAUUUUUUUUGAGAGUUCUUAUCGAAAAAAAAGUUUGCGACCUCGAUGUUGAAUUAAAAUAUCUAUACAAUUGCAGAAGUUGAAUAGUGGGUCUGUUCGACCUUUAAAAUUUUACGUGAUC
rnacentral:rRNA from 1 species